AUUAUUCAAUAGUAGCUUAGAUUUUUAUAACACCCAGUAUUAUGUGUCUAGAACUGUAGUGUUGUAAAUUUGUAGUGAUAUUAUCAUUUCUAACAUAGUGUAUCUGAUUAACUAAAAAAUGAAUAAAUUUUCCACAGAAGUUAUCAGUGGUCAAUAAAGGUACCUAAGUUAUAUUAUUAUAGGAUAUUUUUCAAUACCUAAAUUUUAGAAAAAGUACAGUAAAGUACUGUAUUGUUUAUAGUUGCGUUCAUUUCAUAAAACGUGUGGCUCAUCAUUGACAAUGAAGGUGACAACUUCCUGGAUAAUAAUAUAUUCAAUUUUAAUUUUAGGUACUGGGAAAUAAUUGUCCCAAAUGAAAUUAGUUCCUAAUUCAAACUGCAAAUACUGAUUAGAGCAAUAAAUAAUAAUCUUAAUACAGUAUCCAGAAUUUUGUGUGAUAGAAAACUCGAAAGACGACAAGCUGUUUUCAUCAUGCUCAAGUGACAAGGAGUGCGUAGUGGAGAUAGCGGUGCCGGCUUAUGCUUUUUACACUCUAAUUCGUAUUACUUAACCCGACUAGUAAGUACCAAGGAUCUAUAUACAAAUAAUUCAAACGCAGUUUUUACAGUAGUUAAGUACCACAUUGCAUGGAUCCGUGAACUGUAUAUCAAACAUAACUAAGUGCAAAAUAAUUAUAGUUAUGUUAUGGAAAAUAUAGUUUAUUCCAAUUGUAAUUGAAAUCAAUAUUUGUAUAUAAUUUUUUUUACCUAUGUGUAAUAAUAAUUAUUACACAUGGGUUGUAUCAGUUAACACAACAAUUCAUUAAAAUUAAACAUAAUAGGUACCUACGUACCUAUGGAAUAAUACAUGAUAUGUAUAGUACCAAAUAUUAUAUUAAAUUAUAAUUUACAAAUAUUAAAUUCAGUUUUUAGCAUA